AUUGAACGCUGGCGGCAUGCCUUACACAUGCAAGUCGAACGGCAGCGGGGGAGAAGCUUGCUUUUCCUGCCGGCGAGUGGCGAACGGGUGAGUAAUACAUCGGAACGUGCCCUGUAGUGGGGGAUAACUAGUCGAAAGAUUAGCUAAUACCGCAUACGACCUGAGGGUGAAAGUGGGGGACCGCACGGCCUCAUGCUAUAGGAGCGGCCGAUGUCUGAGUAGCUAGUUGGUGGGGUAAAGGCCUACCAAGGCGACGAUCAGUAGCUGGUCUGAGAGGACGAUCAGCCACACUGGGACUGAGACACGGCCCAGACUCCUACGGGAGGCAGCAGUGGGGAAUUUUGGACAAUGGGCGAAAGCCUGAUCUAGCAAUGCCGCGUGUGUGAAGAAGGCCUUCGGGUUGUAAAGCACUUUUGUCCGGAAAGAAAUGCCUCUGGUUAAUACCUGGGGUCGAUGACGGUACCGGAAGAAUAAGGACCGGCUAACUACGUGCCAGCCGCCGCGGUAA
rnacentral:rRNA from 1 species